rnacentral:rRNA from 1 species
UGCGGAAGGAUCAUUACCGAGUGAGGGCUGCCUCCGGGCGCCCCACCUCCCACCCGUGAAUACCUUACCACUGUUGCUUCGGCGAGGAGCCCCUUCCGGGGGGCGAGUCGCCGGGGACCACAUGAACUUCUUGAUUGUAGAGUUGCGUCUGAGCCUGAAAUAUAAAUCAGUCAAAACUUUCAACAAUGGAUCUCUUGGUUCCGGCAUCGAUGAAGAACGCAGCGAACUGCGAUAAGUAAUGUGAAUUGCAGAAUUCAGUGAAUCAUCGAGUCUUUGAACGCACAUUGCGCCCCCUGGCAUUCCGGGGGGCAUGCCUGUCCGAGCGUCAUUGCUGCCCUUCAAGCCCGGCUUGUGUGUUGGGUCGUCGUCCCCUCCGGGGGACGGGCCCGAAAGGCAGCGGCGGCACCGCGUCCGGUCCUCGAGCGUAUGGGGCUUUGUCACCCGCUCGAUAAGGACCGGCCGGGCGCCAGCCGGCGUCUCCAACCUUUUUUUCUCAGGUUGACCUCGGAUCAGGUAGGGAUACCCGCUGAACUUAAGCAUAUCAAUAGCCGGGAGGAA